rnacentral:rRNA from 1 species
GAAGGUGGCAAGCGUUGUUCGGAAUUAUUGGGCUUAAAGCGCGCGUAGGCGGGACUGGAAAGUGUCUUGUGAAAACCCACGGGCUUAACCGUGGAAUUGCUUGGCAAACUAUCAGUCUUGAGGCAAGUAGGGGUACAUGGAACUCUUAGUGGAGCGGUGGAAUGCGUAGAUAUUAAGAGGAACGCCAAUGGUGAAGACAGUGUACUGGGCUUGUACUGACGCUGAGGUGCGAAAGCGUGGGGAGCGAACGGGAUUAGAUACCCCGGUAGUCCACGCCGUAAACGAUGUCUACUAGAUCGUGGGAGUUCUGACACUUUCACGGUCGAAGCAAAAGUGAUAAGUAGACCGCCUGGGGAGUACGGUCGCAAAGGCUAA